UACGGAGGGUGCAAGCGUUGUUCGGAAUUAUUGGGCGUAAAGCGCGCGUAGGCGGAUCAUUAAGUCUGAUGUGAAAUCCCUGGGCUCAACCCAGGACGUGCAUUGGAUACUGGUGAUCUUGAAUCCUGGAGAGGGUGGCGGAAUUCCCAGUGUAGAGGUGAAAUUCGUAGAUAUUGGGAAGAACACCGGUGGCGAAGGCGGCCCACUGGACGGAUACUGACACUCAGAGACGAAAGCUAGGGUAGCAAAUGGG
rnacentral:rRNA from 1 species